ensembl:snRNA U1 U1 spliceosomal RNA
AUACUUACCUGUCAGGGGACAUACCAUGAUCAGGAAGGUGGUUUUUCCAGGAUAAGGCUUAUCAGUUGCACUCCGAAUGUGCUAACACCUGAGAUUUUCCCCAAAUGUGGGAAACUCCACUGCACAAUUUUUGGUAGUGAGGGACUGUGUUCAUGCUCUCCCCUG